rnacentral:rRNA from 1 species
AGUGAACGCUGGCGGUAGACCUAACACAUGCAAGUCGAACGGCAGCACAGUAAGAGCUUGCUCUUACGGGUGGCGAGUGGCGGACGGGUGAGGAAUACAUCGGAAUCUACUUUUUCGUGGGGGAUAACGUAGGGAAACUUACGCUAAUACCGCAUACGACCUACGGGUGAAAGCAGGGGAUCUUCGGACCUUGCGCGAUUGAAUGAGCCGAUGUCGGAUUAGCUAGUUGGCGGGGUAAAGGCCCACCAAGGCGACGAUCCGUAGCUGGUCUGAGAGGAUGAUCAGCCACACUGGAACUGAGACACGGUCCAGACUCCUACGGGAGGCAGCAGUGGGGAAUAUUGGACAAUGGGCGCAAGCCUGAUCCAGCCAUACCGCGUGGGUGAAGAAGGCCUUCGGGUUGUAAAGCCCUUUUGUUGGGAAAGAAAAGCAGCAGGUUAAUACCCCGCUGUUCUGACGGUACCCGAAGAAUAAGCACCGGCUAACUUCGUG